GACAGAGGCCCCGAGCGUUAGGCGGAAUUACUGGGCGUAAAGCGUGCGCAGGCGGUGAUGUAAGACAGAUGUGAAAUCCCCGGGCUCAACCUGGGAACUGCAUUUGUGACUGCAUCGCUGGAGUGCGGCAGAGGGGGAUGGAAUUCCGCGUAUAGCAGUGAAAUGCGUAGAUAUGCGGAGGAACACCGAUGGCGAAGGCAAUCCCCUGGGCCUGCACUGACGCUCAUGCACGAAAGCGUGGGGAGCAAACAGG
rnacentral:rRNA from 1 species